GUUACUCCGCUGCUUUCUCCUCUGCAGAGACCAGCAGCCAAUGGACCGCAGUGUCCAAGCCAAAUCGAGACUACAUCAUCUUCCCCCUAGACAAAAGGACCAGUCUCUAAUGGCCUUCCGAGCCAUCUUCCCAAGGACAGAGGUGUCCUGUGCAGCCGAGUCUGACCUGCAUUAUCCUCCCCUCUGCCUCACUUCUUCACCUGGAAACUCUGGCUUAUCCUUCACAUUCAGCCCAAGUGUUUCCACCACUGGACAGCCUGCACAGCCACAAGAGAAGUCAUCAGCUGGUGCCAGUUCAACAAGGAGCAGCAACCAUUCCAUCCCUGCACAAGACUGUCCAAUGAUUCCCCAUUGCCUUUAAAG